AAAAAUUGGAGCACAAGAACUCAAAGUAGAGAGAAUACAAGAGUGAGAAUUUCUUAAGCUUCUAAGUUUGUUCUAGAAAAAAAAAAGAGUAAGUAAGUUUGUGUAUAGUAUCUAAGUUCUUUUCUCUGUAGUUGCGAAGUUUUUUAGUACUCCCGAAAGGAAAACCUCUCUUCACCUUAAGACAUGUAGGUAGUUGUUAUUUGAAAUCAUUGUAUCUUUUUCUCCCUACUAUGUAUAUUAUGUUUGUUAUAUGAAAUUUUUAUGAAUUCCUGUAAAUUACUUGUUAAAUAUAUCCCCAGUAUAUGAUUAAUCUCUCAGUAUUUUAGCAGUAACGAUGGAUUAAUCUGUAAAUUUCUAGGGAUUUGAAAAGUUUAGAAAAAAUUUAAAAGGACUGUUGUGUUGUCCCGAGGUGUGAUUAAAGAAGAUAUUGCUAAAAUGCCUAAAUCUGAAGAGAAAAAGAUGAACAAGACAUAAAAAAAGAGUAUUUUGGGAGAAAAACAUACCUUGAUUUUGAUAAUCUCACUACUACACAUGACUAGGGAUAACGAAGGAGGGAGUACUGAGUAGGAUUUUACAUCAUAUUCUUGAAAAAAUAUAUCUGCUUUAACCUUGUUGCUUGCUCAUAUCUCAUAUUGGCAUAACCAACCAUUCAAAAUGUCCUUCUGGAAAUAUGAAAGUUGUCC
rnacentral:lncRNA from 1 species